UCCAGACUCCUACGGGAGGCAGCAGUGGGGAAUAUUGCACAAUGGGGGAAACCCUGAUGCAGCGACGCCGCGUGAGCGAUGAAGUAUUUCGGUAUGUAAAGCUCUAUCAGCAGGGAAGAAAAUGACGGUACCUGACUAAGAAGCCCUGGCUAACUACGUGCCAGCAGCCGCGGUAAUACGUAGGGGGCAAGCGUUAUCCGGAUUUACUGGGUGUAAAGGGAGCGUAGACGGCGGUGCAAGCCAGGAGUGAAAGCCCGGGGCCCAACCCCGGGACUGCUCUUGGAACUGCGCGGCUGGAGUGCAGGAGGGGCAGGCGGAAUUCCUGGUGUAGCGGUGAAAUGCGUAGAUAUCAGGAGGAACACCGGCGGCGAAGGCGGCCUGCUGGACCGUGACUGACGUUGAGGCUCGAGAGCGUGGGGAGCAAACAGGAUUAGAUACCCGUGUAAG
rnacentral:rRNA from 1 species